AUUAAAAUGAAGUGAAGAAACUUGUCCCUAAAGAGUACUUGCCUGUUAAGAAACAUCUCAUUUUAAUUAUGUAGUAAUGGAGAUGGGGAUCACCUUCUUGUUUUGUUUUGAGAUGAGUCUCACUAUGUUGCCCAGGUUGGACUCAAAUUCCUAGGUCAAGAGAUCUUCCACCUUGGCCUCCUGAGUGGCUGGGACUACAGGAGAUCACCUUUUCAAAGCUGAAUAUCAAAGUCAGAAAAUCAACUAAAUGAAAGGCUGGAAUGCAAUGGCGUGAUUAUAGCUCAAUGCAUCUUCAUCUCCCUGGGCUCAAGCAAUCUUCCAAGCUCAGCCUCCCAAGUAGCUGGAACUACAGGCAGAGGAGUCCCUCCCUGUGUCCACCACCAUCACAAGCCCAGGGCAAGUACUGCUAGAGGGCUGCCUAUGAUCAGAUCUUCUGAGAACAUCAGAGAAAGACUGUCCUUGCAAUCUACACUACAGCAAGACUUCAGGACCUUGAACUUCAGGUUCAUAAUCUCACAACUGAGAAGGAUCCUUCCACACUCUUGGAACAGUGCACCCAUUGGAACUCUGAAGGUUAAGCUCACCAGGAAAGUUUCUCUCCAGAAGAAGAUAACACCCUUAAUGUGAACAGCUUUUCCCAAAAUCACGGAUUGAAACUUCUCUACACUCACGAGACUCUUAUCUUUGAAUAUUUUCCCUUGGUUAUGCUUCUGUGAACAAUAGACGUGAAAAGGGAGUCUGUUGUGUGCACUUAUGGGGCACACUUUUAUGUGUGAAGGAUUUUUCAGCCAGCCUUAUAUAUGGAUGACCUUAUAGUUUAAGAGAUAAAAGACAAAGACCCAAUGCAGUGUGAUAGGCAACCUUGAAAUGGCCCCAGAUAAUCCCUGCCUCCAGACUAACAAAAUGAUAUUUGUGUCCAGAACCAGUUAAAGAGCUGUGGCAGUUCUAAGGAAAGGAGAAUGGUUUGAAAAUGGUAAUGAGGAGAAAGAAUGACACUGACACCAGCUCCAGGUCCCGUGGAAUGAAAUCUAUGGUA
rnacentral:lncRNA from 1 species